rnacentral:rRNA from 1 species
UACGGGGGGGGCAAGCGUUGCUCGGAAUUACUGGGCGUAAAGGGCUCGUAGGCGGCCAACUAAGUCGGAUGUGAAAUCCCCAAGCUUAACUUGGGAACUGCAUCCGAUACUGGAUGGCUUGAAUCCGGGAGAGGGAUGCAGAAUUCCAGGUGUAGCGGUGAAAUGCGUAGAUAUCUGGAGGAAUACCGGUGGCGAAGGCGGCAUCCUGGACCGGCAUUGACGCUGAGGAGCGAAAGCUAGGGGAGCAAACGGG